rnacentral:rRNA from 1 species
GAUGAACGCUGGCGGCGCGCUUAACACAUGCAAGUCGAACGGGAAAUAUUUCAUUGAGACUUCGGUGGAUUUGAUUUAUUUCUAGUGGCGGACGGGUGAGUAACGCGUGGGUAACCUGCCUUAUACAGGGGGAUAACAGUCAGAAAUGGCUGCUAAUACCGCAUAAGCGCACAGAGCUGCAUGGCUCAGUGUGAAAAACUCCGGUGGUAUAAGAUGGACCCGCGUUGGAUUAGCUAGUUGGUGGGGUAACGGCCCACCAAGGCGACGAUCCAUAGCCGGCCUGAGAGGGUGAACGGCCACAUUGGGACUGAGACACGGCCCAGACUCCUACGGGAGGCAGCAGUGGGGAAUAUUGCACAAUGGGGGAAACCCUGAUGCAGCGACGCCGCGUGAAGGAAGAAGUAUCUCGGUAUGUAAACUUCUAUCAGCAGGGAAGAUAGUGACGGUACCUGACUAAGAAGCCCCGGCUAACUACGUG